rnacentral:ncRNA from 1 species
CCGGUAACUGGGGUGAAGUCGUAACAAGGUAGCCGUAUCGGAAGGUGCGGCUGGAUCACCUCCUUU